rnacentral:rRNA from 1 species
GUCGAACGAUGAUGCCCAGCUUGCUGGGUGGAUUAGUGGCGAACGGGUGAGUAAUACGUGAGUAACCUGCCCUUGACUCUGGGAUAAGCCUGGGAAACUGGGUCUAAUACUGGAUACUACCGUCCAUCGCAUGGUGGGUGGUGGAAAGGGUUUUACUGGUUUUGGAUGGGCUCACGGCCUAUCAGCUUGUUGGUGGGGUAAUGGCUCACCAAGGCGACGACGGGUAGCCGGCCUGAGAGGGUGACCGGCCACACUGGGACUGAGACACGGCCCAGACUCCUACGGGAGGCAGCAGUGGGGAAUAUUGCACAAUGGGCGGAAGCCUGAUGCAGCGACGCCGCGUGAGGGAUGACGGCCUUCGGGUUGUAAACCUCUUUCAGUAGGGAAGAAGCGAGAGUGACGGUACCUGCAGAAGAAGCGCCGGCUAACUACGUGCCAGCAGCCGCGGUAAUACGUAGGGCGCAAGCGUUGUCCGGAAUUAUUGGGCGUAAAGAGCUCGUAGGCGGUUUGUCGCGUCUGCUGUGAAAGCCCGGGGCUCAACCCCGGGUCUGCA